UACGAAGGGGGCUAGCGUUGCUCGGAAUUACUGGGCGUAAAGCGCACGUAGGCGGCUUUUUAAGUCAGGGGUGAAAUCCCGGGGCUCAACCCCGGAACUGCCCUUGAAACUGGAGAGCUAGAAUCUUGGAGAGGCGAGUGGAAUUCCGAGUGUAGAGGUGAAAUUCGUAGAUAUUCGGAAGAACACCAGUGGCGAAGGCGACUCGCUGGACGAAGUAUU
rnacentral:rRNA from 1 species